rnacentral:rRNA from 1 species
AUAUAAAGCGGCGAACGGGUGAGUAACACGUGGAUAAUCUGCCUUUCGGUGGGGGAUAACGGCUGGAAACGGCCGCUAGUACCGCAUGUGGUUGCGGGGCCUUCGGACCCUGCAAAGAAAGAGGCCUUAAAGCCUCGCCGGAAGAUGAGUCCGCGCCCCAUUAGCUAGUUGGCGGGAUAACAGCCCACCAAGGCUUCGAUGGGUAGCCGAGCUGAGAGGUUGAUCGGCCACACUGGGACUGAGACACGGCCCAGACACCUACGGGUGGCAGCAGUAGGGAAUAUUGGACAAUGGGGGAAACCCUGAUCCAGCGAUGCCGCGUGGAUGAUGAAGGCCUUCGGGUCGUAAAGUCCUUUUCUGAGGGAAGAACUGUCUGGGGAGGAAAUGCCCCGGAUUUGACGGUACCUCAGGAAUAAGCAACGGCUAACUCCGUGCCAGCAGCCGCGGUAAUACGGAGGUUGCAAGCGUUGUUCGGAUUAACUGGGCGUAAAGGGAGCGCAGGCGGCUUGGUAAGUCUAAAGUGAAAUCCCAGAGCUCAACUCUGGACGGGCUUUAGAUACUGCCUGGCUUGAGUACGUGAGAGGAGAUUGGAAUUCCAGGUGUAGCGGUGAAAUGCGUAGAUAUCUGGAGGAACACCGGUGGCGAAAGCGGAUCUCUGGCACGUUACUGACGCUGAGGCUCGAAAGCGUGGGGAGCAAACGGGAUUAGAUACCCCGGUAGUCCACGCCGUAAACGUUGUGCGCUAGGUGUAGGAGGUAUCGACCCCUUCUGUGCCGCAGCUAACGCAUUAAGCGCACCGCCUGGGGAGUACGGUCGCAAGACUGAAACUCAAAGGAAUUGACGGGGGCCUCGCACAAGCGGUGGAGCAUGUGGUUUAAUUCGAGGCAACGCGAAG